UUUGCUGUCUACUUGAUAUUUGAUCCAUAAUUAGAACCUGUAACCCUAGGUAGGGAGGCGAGGGAGUACUAUCACUUGCCCAAGGUGAACUCCCAGACAAGCGGAGGGAAGGAGGUGUCUUACUUCUCCAUUCUAGACUGGCUCUAAGCAAAGUCUAGCCGCCGCCUCCAAAACAUCCUUAUUUAAUUAAAUAUCCUUGUUGAAAAAAUCUUUUCAUUGUGGUUCUGUGCGCAAUAUACGGUAUACUACACGUUGUCUAAACGU
rnacentral:lncRNA from 1 species